rnacentral:lncRNA from 1 species
CGGGUUGAAGCGAUUCUCCUGCCUCAGCUGCUGAGUAGCUGGGAUUACAGGUGUGGCAUCUGGCAUGAAACCAAGGACAAGACACUCAGUUGAGCUUUGUGAAAGAGUGACAGAUGAUGGAUAGAGUCAUGGGCCUGCCUCUUAUGGAGCUAAGAAAUGAAAUCUGGAUACGGAGGCCUGAGUACCUCAGAGAAGCCAAGGUUCCUGCAGGAACCUCGUGCCUGCUGUCCACGUUGGGCUUCAUUUUAUCAAAAUACAGCAAAGAGCUCAUCAUUUCUCAGCUCCUGUCGGAAGCAACAGUGGCUGUUCCUGGACACAGAGCUGCAGACAAGGAGUGGUGAGGAUUCAGGCAAGAGAAGAUGGGCAGCUUCCCCUUCAUGCUUCCCUCUCAGGAAGAAGCCAGGGUGCCUGGGAUCAAAGAGGCUAGGAGGCUGGUGAGGCCUCCUGUCCCUGAAAGCGCCAACACUUCCUGGAGAUGAAACACAACUUCAAUACAGAGAUAGCAAGUUCACACUCUGGCAGUCAUGCAAGGAUGAGUGAUGCGGGCCUUUUCUAAGUGAGUAUGAACGGGUGGGACCUACGGUAAAUUCAAUGCAGUAUAAUCCGUCUACGGGGCAGUGGGCACCCAGCAACAGCCAACUGUUACCAAAUCAAAGUGCAGGCCCAGGAUGACUCAUCUUCCAGCAUUUCAUGAGCAACCAGAAGUCUACAUUUCUUUGAGAAAAAAAAUUUUUUUGAGACGAGGUCUUACUCUGUUGCCCAGGCUGGAGUGUGUAGCUUCUACCUCCCGGGGCUUAGGUGAUUCUCCCACCUCAAGUCUCCCAAGUAGCUGAGACUGCAGGCAUGUGCCACCACGCUGGCUAAUUUUUUUUUUUUUUUUGAGUCGGAGUCUCGCUCUGUCCCCCAGGCUGGAGCGCAGUGGCGCGAUCUCGGCUAACUGCGAGCUCCGCCUCCCGGGGUUCGUGCCAUUCUCCUGCUUCAGCCUCCCAAGUAGCUGGGACUACAGGCGCCCGCCACCACGCCCGGCUAAUUUUUUUGUAUUUUGUAGUAGAAACGGGGUUUCACCAUGUUAGCCAGGAUGGUCUCGAUCUCCUGACCUCGUGAUCCUCCCGCCUCGGCCUCCCAAAGUGCUGGGAUUACAGGCGUGAGCCACCGCUCCCGCCCCAUGCCAGCUAAUUUUUUUGUAGAGACAGGGCUUCGCCAUGUUGUCCAGGCUGGUCUCCAACCCCUAGGCUCCCCGCCUUGCCCUCCCAAAAUGUGGAGAUUACAGGUGUGAGCCACAAUGCCUGGCCAUUUUGAGGAAUUUUUAAACACUGGCUUUAAUUUUUCAAAGUAUCUGGAGCAACUUCUGCUUCUGAGAGAUAGAGUAGAUAUUCUUUUCCCCAGUCCUCCUGCUAAGUACAGCUAAAAACCCCAAAAACACUCUAUAUUAUACAAAAUGAACAUAAGAUGACUCUGAACAAGAAGAAAGCAGAUUGGUUAGGGACCUCCAGAUCCAAGGAAUGACUCAGCAGUGACCUCCCUAAGUUUUCUUUUUGCCUCAUAUAUGUCAGAAUGGGUACUGGAGAAGCCAGCAACCCAAAACUGCCAACGAUUGCAGACAAAAGCCCCAAGAAAAGCUUGUCUUUUUUUUUUUUUUUUUUUUGAAAGAGUGUCUUGCUCUAUCGCCCAGGCUGGAGUGCAGUGGUGCAAUCAUGGCUCACUGCAGCCUUGAUCUCCCAGGCUUAAGCUGCUUAGACUACAGAUCUGCGCCACCAUGCCUGACUAAUCAAUACAGUUGUUUUUUUUUUUUGAAACGGAGUUUCACUCUUGUUGCCCAGGCUGGAGUGCACUGGCGCGAUCUCAGCUCACUGCUGCAACCUCUGCCUCCUGGGCUCAAGCAGUUCUCCUGCCUCACCUCCUGAGUAGCUGGGAUUACAGGCAUGCACCAUCACGCCCUGCUAUUUUUUGUAUUUUUAGAAGUAGAGAUGGGGUUUCACCAUGUUGGUCAGGCUGGUCUCAAACUCCUGAUCUCAGGUGAUCCGCCCGACUCGGCCUCCCAAAGUGCUGGGAUUACAGGCAUGAGCCAUCGUGCCCGGCCUUUUUGUUUUUUUUGUUUGUUUGUUUGUUAUGUUUUUUUGUAGAGAUGGGGGUCUCACUGUUUCCCAGGCUGAUCUCAAAUUCCUGGGCUCAAGCAAUCCUCUGGCCUCAGCCUCCCAAAGUGCUGGAAUUAUAAGCGUGAACCAUGGUGUCCUGCAAGUCUGCUUUCUGAGUCAAAGGACAAGAAAAUAAACAGCCUAGAAAGACA